rnacentral:lncRNA from 1 species
ACGGAGCUCCAGCCAGGGCCGCGGUUCGCCUGCACGUCACGGCUACUCAAACCCAAGCACGUCCCGAAAGCGGUAUUUUCUGCGUCUGGGAGGUUUUUGCAUCCUCAGUUCCCACCGCUGGGGCUGGCGGCGACCAACUGUAAGAGAAACUCACUGGGAGGCGAGGCAGGGGGGUGCGGAGGAUGGGAAGGCGACUCUGAAGGGUGGGAAGUGAAUGCUGGACUUGAUCGUCUUUCUCUUUCUUUCAGCGCAGACCUGUCGCAGCCAGAGAGCUGUCAUUUCAGUACCGGGAUUCAGAAUUGAUCCAGUCCGCAGCGGAGGGGGCACAUCCCAGCUACCGAGCUGCUGAGUGUCUCUGGCUGGAACAAUAGUAUUUUUUUCUCUGCGAGGCUGCAAUUAACAUCUUAUUUGUUCUGGCUCCAUACAGGCUUUGUCAGGAUCGCGGUGCGGCGACCGACGUUGGGCUCUUGCAUUGCUUUGUGCUUGGCAAUGGAAUCAUGGUUUCGGGGUCUAAACUUUUGUUUCGUUUUGUAGUCUUAAUGUAUCUGAUUCUUUUUCAAGUUUCCCUAGUAACAGGUUUGGGGACGGGGUGGGAAGAAGCGAGAAAAGGGGUGAAGAGAAAAAACCAGAUUAUAUAGAAAGGAAAAAGGGAAAAGGGAUGUUUCCCCACCUUUUAAUCUAACUAUCUAUCUGUCUGUCUAUCUAUCAUCAUAGAUAGUCAUUUUGCCUCCUGGACAGUUGGCUGACGAAGUGUCUGAUAAACCAGCUUCAGAUACAUGCUACAAAAGGUCAUUCGCCUCCUGAUUAUGUUUCUACUUGUAAACGCAGUUGGUGGUUUGCAAAACAAGUGCUAAAAUAGUGCAGUGAUGUGGUGGGAGGAAACCAUAAUGGGUAAUUCAUAUAAAGUGCUGGAAUCUUCGUAAGGGUGAGUUUCUCGAGCGGCAGGUGAAGUUGAAUAAAGCAAUUUUCCAUCAUUUGUUCCCCUCACUCUUGCAUUUUUUUCCUCCGCUUGUUUCUCUCCCCUGGGGCGAUUAUGGAUAGCCAAGAACACCAUUUUAAAAGAGAUUGAUAGUGAAAACAGGAAGUUUAUGGUCUGUUAUCCACUGGAGUUGUUUGAAAUAUUAAAAUUGGUCCUUUACUUCUUAAUGCAUAUUAAUAGAGUGACCCUCUUCAAGGCUUUCCCGUCUUAAACGAAUGCCUGGGAUAAACACUGUAAGGGGAAACAGUUAAUAAUUCCCCAGCAGGCUUUAACUAUUUUCCCAGUAACAAAUCACCGGCAAGAGAGCAGCCUGGGUGGCAUUUUGGUUUUGUGUCAUUUUGGUUCUUUACAAUAUUUUUUAUUCAUUUAAGGAAAUGUUAAAAGGAAAUAAUUAGGGUUUAUGUCCAGAACAAAUUUUGAAACACCGUUUAAGCAACACAUUUUCUUUUAAAAACAAAGAACAUUGAGCAACACAAAGGAGAAAAACAUUUUAUUUAUUUCAACUUCCCUAGAGAUCGUAAUUAUGAUUUUCGCAAGGCAAUUUGGUCAGUUCUGUUACUUUAUCCAGAGGAAAAAAAAGCAUGACAGAUGUGGAAUAAAAACGGAGGAAAAAAUGCUUUGGAUGGUUUAUACAUAAAAAGGAAAGAAUGUAAUGUGAGGUUCAGUUAUACCUCUAUUUUGCAUCUAGUGAUUUCUCAUAUUAUCUUGUAACACUGAUUUUGAUGUUUCUUAGAAAUUCUUAAAGUCAUGACACAGUGGCAUAAGAAUAACAGCUGAAAGGGACAAUUUAAAAGCCUAAAUCCUAAAUGGAAAGGUUCACUUACUCCCAGGAUCAUUUAUAUUCAAGUAGAAGUCAGGGCAGGGUCAGAAAAGAAAGCCACCCUUAAUAAAGCGCUUCACCCUUCACAUUGUUUCUCAUAACCUUCAUAAAUUGCAGGCUACUGAGCUGGCCUGAUGAUGAUCCUUCUGAGAUAUAUUUAUAGCAGAUGAUUUGUGGAUGAUAACUACGCCAAGCAAGACACUGUCUCCAGUAACCCCAGGCUCGUCUGACUUCCUCAGGGGAUUAUAAUAAAGAAUCACAAAAAGAACCCUAUAUGGACAGUCUGGUCUCUGGACACUAACAACAGCACAAUCCAAAGGCAAAGAAAGGAGGAACCACCUUGUUUCAUGUCUGCAAGCUGCUCCAUAUGAAAGCAUUGCUGACAUGUUGACCCAACAGCAAAAAGAGAGCAGCAGUUUACACACCCUCAGCUCUCUGUCCUUUCCUUUCUAUUGAUGUUGGUCCACUUUUAUGACUGAAUACAUAUUAAAAUCACCAUUUCAAAUUAUAA